AAUUCUCAAACUUACUUCUUGUUAAUCUCUUGACUUGAAGACAGUUUGGAUGUGGGAGUUGCUGGUUUUUCAAAUCAGCUCUCUUUAAAUGUAUUAGUAGUUUGGCUUUGUCCCACAUUCCCAAUUGAUGUGAUAGUUUAUCUGCAUCAUUAGAGAAUGAAUCUGCUUCCAACUUGUUGGUCUUUUUGACCGAUGCUUUGACA
rnacentral:misc_RNA from 1 species